GUCCUUGUAACACAAUAGAUAGUGCAUUGGACUUCUAAUCCAAAGGUUGUGGGUUUGAACCCCACCUCAUAUGGACU